rnacentral:lncRNA from 1 species
GCUACACAAAAAGUGUCAAUAGCAUUACCUUUGCAAUUGCACCACUAAUAAAAACAUAGGAAUCAAACAGACGAAUAAAAUGCUCCCUGCCCACACAGCCAUAACAUCCUAUGGCCCUGAAAAUAGUUCCGCCAAGCUGCGUGCAGUGGACACUUCACGGCUGGCACAGGAGAGAUCACAAGGCCUUGCUCAAUUUCAUCAAAAGUGUUAAAGCGACUCAGCAGAUUGUGAAGCACAAGUGGAAGCUGAUAAUUGGUGUUUCUUACAAAUCAACGGCUUGUCUCCACACAUCAAGGUGAGAAAAUCAAUGUAAAAGAGGAGAAAUAACCCACACAACCACAUACAACUAGGAAAUGAUAGAUGGAUCUGAAAAAAAGGAUAUGCACUCUUAACAAGUUCAACACCCAAGUACUAUUGCAAGUACCAGCUGUAUUUCAUGGAAAAAAAAAAAAGAAUAACUCAAAAGGCAGAACGAAGAGCCUAGAGGUCAGAGAUGAGAGGCAUGAAUAAUUAUUCACAGGCGUUGAAUAUAAUCAAAUGACUUGCAACAUUUACCACUGGGAUUUUAAAAUGUGGUGGACCAAUCAUUCUUUUAGUCUGUGCAUUUUCCCAUUUUUUUCAACAGGAAUGUCUAGAGACAUUAUUCCUGUUUUGCCACUGUAUUUUUGGUGAAUGUGUAGUAAGUAACUGGCCUCUUUAGUAUCACAAAGCUGGAUGAAGAAAAUGUGGUACAUAUACACCAUGAAAUACUAUGCCGCCACAAAAAGGAAAUGAGAUCAUGUCCUCUGCAGGGACAUGGAUGAAGCUGGAAGCCAUUAUCCUUAGCAAAGUAACGCAGGAACAGAAAACCAAACACCACAUGUUGUCUCUUAGAAGUGGGAGCUGAACGUAUAGACAAAAUGACCUACGAAUCAAGCAUUUUGUUCCACGGUCUCUACUGUUAGCUGUAUGUCUCAGAAACAGCUUCUUUCUCAAGAGAGAACAAGAGGGAUAAUGCUGGAUCUAAAGGCAUCAUCUGAAGAAGACAAAGAUAUCAACAAUCGCAACUAUUUGGCUUUCUGUCCAUCACUGAGACUUUUCAUAAUCUUCCCUUCAUAAAUAGGAUCUCUUGAUCAGAACAGAAAAGUUGAGUCUUAAAUUUCCUGUAUUUAUUUCUGACUGAUACUGAGGGAAGUGCAAAUUUGGUUGCUAUGAUUAAACUCCUUGAUUGUUCUUAA